rnacentral:rRNA from 1 species
UACAGAGGGUGCGAGCGUUAAUCGGAAUACUGGGCGUAAAGGGUGCGUAGGUGGUUAUGUAAGUUAGGUGUGAAAUUCCUGGCUUAACCUGGGGACUGCGCCUGAUACUGUGUAGCUAGAGUACUGUAGAGGAAAGUGGAAUUUCCGGUGUAGCGGUGAAAUGCGUAGAUAUCGGAAGGAACAUCGGUGGCGAAGGCGGUUCUCUGGGCAUUACCUGACGCUGAGGAGCGAAAGUGUGGGGAGCGAACAGG